ACCGCUGGACGUGGCGAUCUAGUUCUUUGGGGUGUAUUUUCGAAGCGCAUUCGGCACUGGACGUUUUUUGGACGUGUAAAGCCAGUGGUUUUGAUUAGAGAUCAUGUCGUACUGCUCGUUCCAGGCGCAGCUGGUGUCCUUCAUGGAGAGCGUGGCCAGAGCGGCGGAAGCGGAAAUCAGCCGGCGCGUGGACGAGAGCUGCGCGGUCAUCAGACUGGAGCUGAGCCGCAGCCGGAGGGACAUCGACGCCCUCAAGAGGAAGUGCGUGCUCAUGGACAGCGAGCUGAGGAGGGUCAGGGGACGGGGCAGGAGGAGAGUGUGGUUCAAGACCCAGCCUGUGAUCAGAGAUCCAGACCAGAAUCCAGAUCAGACCAGAUCAGACCAGGUGACCAACACAAGCUCAGAGGAGCUUUAUCUCACCCGCAAACAUCAGCACAGUUUACAAUCAUAAUUUCAAGACUUGGAAAAGUCACAGAGCGACAAAUUAUGUACAGAUGCAAAACCCCAGACAUUUUAGUUUAUAUUUAUAUAUUUAUUUAUUUUUUAUUUAUUUUUUUUUAUUUUUUUUAUUUUUUUAUUUUUAUAUUUAUAUUUAUUCAUUUAAAUAUAUUUUUAUUUAUUUAUAUUUAUUUAUAUAUUUAUUUAUUUUUAUUUAAUUAUUUAUUUAUAUUUUUAUAUAUAUUUAUUUAUUUAUUUAUAUAUUAAUUAAUUUAUUUUUAUUUAUUUAUUUAUUUAUUUAUAUGUAUUUAUGUAUUUAUUUAUUUAUUAUAAUUGUAGACAAUUAAACAUAAAAACUAUUUUUUUUUUAAAUACAUAUUUUUGGUUUAUUGAUUAUCAUAAAAUCCUGUUAUCAUAAAUGUCUGAGAAUGUUGUGGAAAUUGUUUUAGUAAUUUUUUGAGAUAUUAUUAUCGUUUUUAUUAAUUUUUUAAAUAAGUUUUUAUUUGUAUAUUUUCUGUUUUUGUAGUUAAAGUUCACUCAUUCUGCUGUUUUUGUCAAUUUUAUUAGUUUAUUGUAAUAUGCCGAUAUAGAUUUUAUUGUAUUUUUCUAUAUUACAUCAAGUUGAAAAAGUUAAUUCUAAGAAAGAAAGAAAAAACAACUCAGCCCUCUUACUCUUGCACAUUCUGUUCUAUUUCUAUUCUUACUACUUAUUUUCUAAAAUAAAAAAAUAAAAUAAAAAAUAAUUGAAUAAAAA
ensembl:lncRNA